UACGUAGGGGGCAAGCGUUGUCCGGAUUUAUUGGGCGUAAAGAGCGUGUAGGCGGCCAUACAGGUCAGCUGUGAAAACUCGAGGCUCAACCUCGAGACGUCGGUUGAAACCGUAUGGCUAGAGUCCGGAAGAGGAGAGUGGAAUUCCCGGUGUAGCGGUGAAAUGCGCAGAUAUCGGGAAGAACACCUAUGGCGAAGGUAGCUCUCUGGGACGGUACUGACGCUGAGACGCGAAAGCGUGGGGAGCAAACAGG
rnacentral:rRNA from 1 species